rnacentral:rRNA from 1 species
GGGUUCGCCCGCCACCAGGACCAAACCAUAAACCUUUUUCUUAUGCAGUUUCCAUCAGCGUCAGUAAAAACAAUGUAAUAAUUACAACUUUCAACAACGGAUCUCUUGGUUCUGGCAUCGAUGAAGAACGCAGCGAAAUGCGAUACGUAGUGUGAAUUGCAGAAUUCAGUGAAUCAUCGAAUCUUUGAACGCACAUUGCGCCCUUUGGUAUUCCAAAGGGCAUGCCUGUUCGAGCGUCAUUUGUACCUUCAAGCUUUGCUUGGUGUUGGGCGUUUUUGUCUCCCUCUUUCUGGGAGACUCGCCUUAAAACGAUUGGCAGCCGGCCUACUGGUUUCGGAGCGCAGCACAUUUUUUGCGCUUUGUAUCAGGAGAAAAGGACGGUACUCCAUCAAGACUUUUACAAUUUUAACUUUUGACCUCGGAUCAGGUAGGGAUACCCGCUGAACUUA